CUUCACGGGCAGUUUUCAUGAUCUGGAACAUCAUUCGAAGUGCAGCAUUGUUCUUGGCAGACUUUCCUGAUCGGCCAAAACCUUGAACUGGUGAUUAAUUGAAUUGAAAACUUGGGUUACCAGAAAUCCCCAACUCUUCAAUAGUUACUCCGACAUGAAAAGCUCUUUUCUCCAGCAACACUUGAAUUACGAUAAAUGUUUGCAAUUGUGGCAGAUAGUAAGGAUGGAUGUUGAUCAAAAUUCGAAAUAAACACUGACUUACAACAGCUGUUUCUGUUUCGACGCGCCCUUUUUUUGGAUUCAGCAGUCAGCACACUCUAACGGCAAAAAGGUUUUUAAAAACCAAAUUCAACUGUAAUUUUGUGAUGUAGGGGAGAGCGGGGUUGGAUGGGACAGAGUGGUUAUAUG
rnacentral:lncRNA from 1 species